CGUUCUUUUUAUCUUGUUGAUGAGCCAAGUCUCCGUGUUGAAGGCCAUACUUUGACCUACAAUUGUUUACUUUUUACAUAUUUUGACUUGGAUAGAGAGCUGUCUCAUUGACACUAAUACCACAUCUUCAUCUUUCAUUGUAUUCAAUAUUCAAAUAUCAUGUGAGUGAAACAUACAUGUAUACAGGAGGAAUUGAUCCUAUCUU
rnacentral:lncRNA from 1 species